UACAGAGGUCCCGAGCGUUGUUCGGAUUCACUGGGCGUAAAGAGUGUGUAGGCGGUGCUCUAAGUCUGUUGUGAAAUCUCCCGGCUUAACCGGGAGGGUGCGGCGGAAACUGGAGUGCUUGAGGGUGGGAGAGGUAAGCGGAAUUCCUGGUGUAGCGGUGAAAUGCGUAGAUAUCAGGAGGAACACCUGUGGUGUAGACAGCUUACUGGACCACUUCUGACGCUGAGACACGAAAGCGUGGGUAGCAAACAGG
rnacentral:rRNA from 1 species